rnacentral:rRNA from 1 species
AGUGAACGCUGGCGGUAGGCCUAACACAUGCAAGUCGAACGACCGCACAGUAAGAGCUUGCUCUUACGGUUGGCGAGUGGCGGACGGGUGAGGCAUACAUCGGAAUCUACUUUUUCGUGGGGGAUAACGUAGGGACACUUACGCUAAUACCGCAUACGACCUACGGGUGAAAGCAGUGGAUCUUCGCACCUUGCGCGAUUGAAUGAGCCGAUGUCGGAUUAGCUAGUUGGCGGGGUAAAGGCCCACCAAGGCGACGAUCCGUAGCUGGUCUGAGAGGAUGAUCAGCCACACUGGAACUGAGACACGGUCCAGACUCCUACGGGAGGCAGCAGUGGGGAAUAUUGGACAAAGGGCGCAAGCCUGAUCCAGCCAUACCGCGUGGGUGAAGAAGGCCUUCGGGUUGUAAAGCCCUUUUGUUGGGAAAGAAAAGCAGCAGGUUAAUACCCCGCUGUUCUGACGGUACCCAAAGAAUAAGCACCGGCUAACUUCGUG